rnacentral:ncRNA from 1 species
CAACCUCAACUCAUAUGGGACUACCCCCUGAAUUUAAGCAUAUUAAUUAGGGGAGGAAAAGAAACUAACAAGGAUUUUCUUAGUAGCGGCGAGCGAAAAGAAAACAGUUCAGCACUAAGUCACUUUGUCUAUAUGGCAAAUGUGAGAUGCAGUGUAUGGAGCGUCAAUAUUCUAGUAUGAGAAAUUAAUGAUUUAAGUCCUUCUUAAAUGAGGCCAUUUACCCAUAGAGGGUGCCAGGCCCGUAUAACGUUAAUGAUUACUAGAUGAUGUUUCCAAAGAGUCGUGUUGCUUGAUAGUGCAGCACUAAGUGGGUGGUAAACUCCAUCUAAAACUAAAUAUAACCAUGAGACCGAUAGUAAACAAGUACCGUGAGGGAAAGUUGAAAAGAACUCUGAAUAGAGAGUUAAACAGUACGUGAAACUGCUUAGAGGUUAAGCCCGAUGAACCUGAAUAUCCGUUAUGGAAAAUUCAUCAUUAAAAUUGUAAUAUUUAAAUAAUAUUAUUAAGAAUAAUGUGCAUUUUUUCCAUAUAAGGACAUUGUAAUCUAUUAGCAUAUCCCAAAUUUAUCAUAAAAUAUAACUUAUAGUUUAUUCCAAUUAAAUUGCUUGCAUUUUAACACAGAAUAAAUGUUAUUAAUUUGAUAAAGUGCUGAUAGAUUUAUAUUAUUACAGAGCGUUAAUUUUUCGGAAUUAUAUAAUGGCAUAAUUAUCAUUGAUUUUGUGUUAUAUAUGCUCUUGUAUGAUUACAAUGCGAAAGAUCAGGAUACUUCGGACCCGUCUGAACACGGACAGAGUCUACUAUGUGCAGUAUGGAUGUAACCUAUAGCGUAUACUGACUAUAUGGGAUAGUUUUAGCUAUUAUAGCUAUAACAAUCCGG